UAGCUAGUUGGUAAGGUAAAGGCUUACCAAGGCGAUGAUGCAUAGCCGAGUUGAGAGACUGAUCGGCCACAUUGGGACUGAGACACGGCCCAAACUCCUACGGGAGGCAGCAGUAGGGAAUCUUCCACAAUGGACGCAAGUCUGAUGGAGCAACGCCGCGUGAGUGAAGAAGGUUUUCGGAUCGUAAAGCUCUGUUGUUGGUGAAGAAGGAUAGAGGUAGUAACUGGCCUUUAUUUGACGGUAAUCAACCAGAAAGUCACGGCUAACUACGUGCCAGCAGCCGCGGUAAUACGUAGGUGGCAAGCGUUGUCCGGAUUUAUUGGGCGUAAAGCGAGCGCAGGCGGAAGAAUAAGUCUGAUGUGAAAGCCCUCGGCUUAACCGAGGAACUGCAUCGGAAACUGUUUUUCUUGAGUGCAGAAGAGGAGAGUGGAACUCCAUGUGUAGCGGUGGAAUGCGUAGAUAUAUGGAAGAACACCAGUGGCGAAGGCGGCUCUCUGGUCUGCAACUGACGCUGAGGCUCGAAAGCAUGGGUAGCGAACAGGAUUAGAUACCCUGGUAGUCCAUGCCGUAAACGAUGAGUGCUAAGUGUUGGGAGGUUUCCGCCUCUCAGUGCUGCAGCUAACGC
rnacentral:rRNA from 1 species